UUGGUUUGAAUCAUUGUCGAUCUAUACUUUGAAAAUAGAACUCACAUAUAAUGGUGGGACAUACAUUGAUUGUAUCCAA
rnacentral:pre_miRNA from 1 species